rnacentral:rRNA from 1 species
AAAUUUAAAUAAUAAACUAGGAUUAGAUACCCUAUUAUUUUAAAUGUUAAUUAUAUUUACCAGGGUACUAUUAGUUAAGGUCUUUAAACCCAAAGAAUUUGGCGGUAUCUCAUUCCAUUCAGAGGAACCUACCCCGUGAUUGAUAAUACACGAUUUACUCUACUUAAUUUAUUUGUUUGUAUAUCUCCGUUAUCAGAGAAUCUUUUUAGAGUUAUAAUUCUCAAGAUUUAUAAUUAUAAAAUAUUUCAGGUCAAGGUGCAGCUUAUAGUUAAGAGGAGGUGGGUUACAAUAGGUUUUUGUUUAUAACGGAUUUGAUGGUGAAAUACUAUUAAUGAAGGUGGAUUUGAUAGUAAUUUAAUUUAUUUAAUUUAACUGAUAUUGGCUCUGAGGUGUGUACACAUCGCCCGUCGCUCUCAUUAUUGAUUAUUCUAUUUUAUUAUUUUAAGGUAGCUUCAAUUAUAGAUGAGAUAAGUCGUAACAUAGUAGAUGUACUGGAAAGUGUAUCUAGUAAGAGUUU